UUAAAGUCUACGAGGAAAGAGCUUGAACACAAACACUUACACAAAGACAGGACUGUCUCUUUGUAAGUGUUUAGUGUUCAAGCUGUUUCCUCA
rnacentral:pre_miRNA from 1 species